CGCCGGUAAGGUGAUAUGAACCGUUAUAACCGGCGAUACCCGAAUGGGGAAACCCAGUGUGACUCGUCACACUAUCAUUAACUGAAUCCAUAGGUUAAUGAGGCGAACCGGGGGAACUGAAACAUCUAAGUACCCCGAGGAAAAGAAAUCAACCGAGAUUCCCCCAGUAGCGGCGAGCGAACGGGGAGGAGCCCAGAGCCUGAAUCAGCAUGUGUGUUAGUGGAAGCGUCUGGAAAGGCGCGCGAUACAGGGUGACAGCCCCGUACACAAAAGCGCAUGUGCUGUGAGCUCGAUGAGUAGGGCGGGACACGUGGUAUCCUGUCUGAAUAUGGGGGGACCAUCCUCCAAGGCUAAAUACUCCUGACUGACCGAUAGUGAACCAGUACCGUGAGGGAAAGGCGAAAAGAACCCCGGCGAGGGGAGUGAAAAAGAACCUGAAACCGU
rnacentral:rRNA from 2 species